GCCGCGGUAGUAUAGACCGGUCAAGUAUGCGGGCCUUUCGAGCCCGUGACCCGGGUUCAAAUCCCGGCCGCGGCA
rnacentral:tRNA from 2 species